rnacentral:rRNA from 1 species
UUUUAUGACUCUCGGCAACGGAUAUCUUGGCUCCCGUAUCGAUWAAGAACGUAGCGAAAUGCGAUACUUGAUGUGAAUUGCAGAAUCCCGUGAAUCAUCGAGUUUUUGAACGCAAGUUGCGCCCGAUGCCAUUCGGCAGAGGGCACGCCUGCCUGGGCGUCACGU